AGAGUUUGAUCCUGGCUCAGAACGAACGCUGGCGGCGUGCCUAACACAUGCAAGUCGAGCGAAGUUAGAGUGAAGCAGCGAUGUGGAGCACUAACUGAGCGGCGAACGGGUGAGUAACACGUAGGUAACCUGCCCAUGAGAUCGGGAUAGCCCUUCGAAAGGGGGAUUAAUACCGGAUAAGACAACGAAUUGAGAUAUUUGUUGUAAAAGGGUGGUUGAAAGGCUUCUGCUUAUGGAUGGGCCUGCGUCCUAUCAGCUAGUUGGUGAGGUAAGUGCUCACCAAGGCUAAGACGGGUAGCCGGACUGAGAGGUUGGUCGGUCACACUGGAACUGAGACACGGUCCAGACUCCUACGGGAGGCAGCAGUGGGGAAUAUUGCGCAAUGGGCGAAAGCCUGACGCAGCGACGCCGCGUGGGGGAAGAAGGUUUUCGGAUUGUAAACCCCUUUCAUGGGGGAAAAAGCUUUUAGGAGUGAUGGUACCCCAGGAAGAAGCCACGGCUAACUCUGUGCCAGCAGCCGCGGUAAUACAGAGGUGGCAAGCGUUGUUCGGAAUUACUGGGCUUAAAGGGCGUGUAGGCGUUUUUGUAAGUCAUGUGUGAAGCCCCUGGCUCAACCAGGGAAAGACACGUGAAACUGCGGAGAUAGAGUGUAGUUAAGGAGGGCGGAAUUCCUGGUGUAGCGGUGAAAUGCGUAGAUAUCAGGAGGAAGGCCAGUGACGAAGGUGGCCCUCUGGGCUAUAACUGACGCUGAGGCGCGAAAGCGUGGGGAGCAAACAGGAUUAGAUACCCUGGUAGUCCACGCUGUAAACGGUGGGCAUUAGGUGUAGGUGUCGGUGGGCAUCUGUGCCGUAGGGAAACCGUUAAAUGCCCCGCCUGGGGAGUACGGCCGCAAGGUUAAAACUCAAAGGAAUUGACGGGGGCCCGCACAAGCGGUGGAGCAUGUGGUUUAAUUCGACGCAACGCGAAGAACCUUACCUGGGCUUGACAUGUAAGUGUUAGUGAACUGAAAGGUGAGCGACCUGGGUUAAUCCUGGGAGCUUACGCAGGUGCUGCAUGGCUGUCGUCAGCUCGUGCCGUGAGGUGUUGGGUUAAGUCCCGCAACGAGCGCAACCCUCAUCCUCUGUUGGCUGCGAGGUCUCUCUGAGGAAACUGCCGGCGAAGAGCUGGAGGAAGGUGGGGACGACGUCAAGUCAUCAUGGCCUUUAUGUCCAGGGCUACACACGUGCUACAAUGGCAGGUUCAAAGGGUAGCGAAGCCGUGAGGUGAAGCCAAUCUCAUAAAGCCUGUCUCAGUUGGGAUCGGAGUCUGCAACUCGACUCCGUGAACGAGGAAUCGCUAGUAACUGCAGAUCAGCAUGCUGCGGUGAAUACGUUCCCGGGCCUUGUACACACCGCCCGUCACACCACGAAAGUCUGUUGUACCCGAAGUAGGUGAGCCAACUGAGCAAUCAGAGGCAGCUUCCUAAGGUAUGGCAGGUAAUUGGGGUGAAGUCGUAACAAGGUA
rnacentral:rRNA from 1 species